GUUCAGCACAGCCUCGGUGUCUGGCUGCUGCAGCCGGAGCCCGUCUGCCGACCCAGGCGGCGGGAAGCUUUUGAGGAAGCUCAUUGCCGGGGAAAGCAUCGCUCCACGCGAACCGAGAGAGGUCAUAGCAGCAAACCCCGAGAGAGGAUGUAUAAGGAAUACCAAGCCUUUCCCAACAAAAAGCGGGAAGGGGCCCAGGCCCCAGGAGUCCCUCGCCGAAGGAGGACUCACAGAAAUAAAAUCCACACGCACCUGGAGAUCCGAAGUCUCCCGGCUGGGUGCACGAGUCUACCCUGCUUCCGCCUCGUCAGGCCUGUUCUCCUUGGGUUCACACAGCCAUUUACCAGACCUCUUAGUCCCCACAUCGCCGGAGAGAUCGAGCGUCCCAUCCCCAGGAGUCAUGCCACGAGCACGAAAAGGUUGCAUUAAUGAUGGACAGUGCUCAGCAAGACAGUCGAAAGACUGCCGGAGGGAAAGGUAGGCCACUGGUUAGGAACCCUUGCCUUCCCUGUUCGCUAGGUCCCAGUGAAUAAGAGCAGUGAAAACCUACAGGUUUGGUGAAUGGAAACCCAUAACAGAGACCUAUAGACCACACAGCAUACGGACUUUACCGCUUAUAUUUUUUCAUGGAUUCCUUCGUGGUUUUUGAGACAGGGCUUCUUUAAGUAGCCCAGGCUGGCUUCCAAUACAUAAUCGAUUUGCACCA
ensembl:antisense Rsf1os2 remodeling and spacing factor 1, opposite strand 2